AUUGAACGCUGGCGGCAUGCCUUACACAUGCAAGUCGAACGGCAGCACGGGUGCUUGCCCCUGGUGGCGAGUGGCGAACGGGUGAGUAAUACAUCGGAACAUGUCCUGUAGUGGGGGAUAGCCCGGCGAAAGCCGGAUUAAUACCGCAUACGAUCUACGGAUGAAAGCGGGGGACCUUCGGGCCUCGCGCUGUAGGGUUGGCCGAUAGCUGAUUAGCUAGUUGGUGGGGUAAAGGCCUACCAAGGCGACGAUCAGUAGCUGGUCUGAGAGGACGACCAGCCACACUGGGACUGAGACACGGCCCAGACUCCUACGGGAGGCAGCAGUGGGGAAUUUUGGACAAUGGGCGAAAGCCUGAUCCAGCAAUGCCGCGUGUGUGAAGAAGGCCUUCGGGUUGUAAAGCACUUUUGUCCGGAAAGAAAUCCUUGGCUCUAAUACAGUCGGGGGAUGACGGUACCGGAAGAAUAAGCACCGGCUAACUACG
rnacentral:rRNA from 1 species